rnacentral:rRNA from 1 species
UAGGGAAUCUUCCGCAAUGGACGCAAGUCUGACGGAGCAACGCCGCGUGAGUGAAGAAGGAUUUCGGUUCGUAAAACUCUGUUGUUAGAGAAGAACAGCGCAUAGAGUAACUGUUAUGCGUGUGACGGUAUCUAACCAGAAAGCCACGGCUAACUACGUGCCAGCAGCCGCGGUAAUACGUAGGUGGCAAGCGUUGUCCGGAUUUAUUGGGCGUAAAGCGAGCGCAGGUGGUCAAUUAAGUCUGAUGUGAAAGCCCCCGGCUCAACCGGGGAGGGUCAUUGGAAACUGGUUGACUUGAGUGCAGAAGAGGAGAGUGGAAUUCCAUGUGUAGCGGUGAAAUGCGUAGAUAUAUGGAGGAACACCAGUGGCGAAGGCGACUCUCUGGUCUGUAACUGACGCUGAGGCUCGAAAGCGUGGGUAGCAAACAGG